rnacentral:RNase_P_RNA from 1 species
CCAGGGGGCCGGGCAGCCGCGUCACUCGCAAGAGUGCCGAGGAAAGUCCGGGCUCCACGAAACAAGGGUGGCGGGUAACGCCCGCCGGGGGUGACCCCAGGGAAAGUGCCACAGAGAGCAGACCGCCGGUUCGCCGGUAAGGGUGAAAGGGUGCGGCAAGAGCGCACCGGGCGCCUGGUAACAGGAGCCGCACGGCAAACCCCACCCGGAGCAAGACCGAAUAGGGGCGGCGCGCACCUUUGCGUGCAGGCGUGUUUCGCGCCCGACCGCCCGGGUUGGUUGCUGGAGCGGCAUGGCAACAUGUCGCCGAGAGGAAUGGCUGCCUCCGCCGAUACGGUGCCCAAUGGCAUACCGUCGGCGGGACAGAACCCGGCUUACAGGCCCCCUGGCAUU